UACGUAGGGGGCGAGCGUUGUCCGAAGUUACUGGGCGUAAAGCGCGCGUAGGCGGUCAUUUAAGUUCGGGGUGAAAGGUUCAGCGCUCAACGCGAACAGUGCCUUGAAUACUGGGUGACUUGAGUUCGGGAGAGGGCAGUGGAAUUCCUGGUGUAGCGGUGAAAUGCGUAGAUAUCAGGAGGAACACCGAUGGCGAAGGCAGCUGCCUGGCCUAGAACUGACGCUGAGGUGCGAAAGCGUGGGGAGCGAACGGG
rnacentral:rRNA from 3 species